CCCCCUAGUAGUGGCGAGCGAACAGGGGACAGCCCAAACCGGGACCGUUUCGGCGGUGCCGGGGUUGUAGGACUGCGUCGUGGACUCCAUAUGUGUAGUGGAACCCUUCUGGAAAGUUGGACCAUAGCGGGUGAUAGUCCCGUACACGAAAUGCAUGUGGUACCUAGCAGUAUCCUGAGUAGGGCGGGACACGUGAGAUCCUGUCUGAACCCGCCGGAACCAUCCGGCAAGGCUAAAUACUCCUGAGAGACCGAUAGUGAACCAGUACUGCGAAGGAAAGGUGAAAAGCACCUCGAACAGAGGAGUGAAAUAGACCCUGAAACCGUACGCUUACAAGCGGUCGGAGUCCCGUUUCGACGGGAUGACGGCGUGCCUUUUGCAUAAUGAGCCUACGAGUUGCUCGUCACUGGCAAGGUUAAGGGCUUCAGGCCCGCAGCCGAAGCGAAAGCAAGUCUUAACAGGGCGCAUAGUCAGUGGCGGCAGACGCGAAACCUAAGUGAUCUAACCAUGGCCAGGAUGAAGUUCCGGUAACACGGAAUGGAGGUCCGAACCGGUAGACGUUGAAAAGUCUUCGGAUGAGCUGUGGUUAGGGGUGAAAGG
rnacentral:rRNA from 1 species